CGGACAAACGCUGGCGGCGUGCCUAACACAUGCAAGUCGAACGGUCCUUCUUCGGAAGGAUAGUGGCAAACGGGUGAGUAACACGUAGUUGACCUGCCCUUUGGUGGCUUGGCUUUGCUAAGCCACGUAGUGGGGAAUAACUGCUCGAAAGAGCAGCUAAUACCGCAUGAGCUGUGUGUCGUCGGAUACACAGUAAACUCUGGGAUUAUUCGUAAUCCUGGAGGCCGAAGGAGGGGACUGCGGCGGAUUAGCUAGUAGGUGGGGUAAGGGCCCACCUAGGCACCGAUCCGUAGCUGGUCUGAGAGGACGACCAGCCACACUGGGACUGAGACACGGCCCAGACUCCUACGGGAGGCAGCAGUGAGGAAUAUUCCACAAUGGGCGCAAGCCUGAUGGAGCGACGCCGCGUGGAGGAAGAAGCCUUUUGGGGUGUAAACUCCUUUUGUUGGGGAUGACACUUUCCGUAUGCAAGUACGGGAAUACGACAGUACCCGACGAAUAAGCCUCGGCUAACUACGUGCCAGCAGCCGCGGUAAUACGUANGAGGCAAGCGUUGUCCGGAUUUACUGGGCGUAAAGCGCGCGCAGGCGGCAGUCCAAGUACGCACUGAAAUCUCCCUGCUCAACGGGGAGGGUGGUGGGUAGACUGGGUUGCUAGAGGUCGGUAGAGGGUGAUGGAAUUGCUGGUGUAGCGGUGAAAUGCGUAGAGAUCAGCAGGAACACCCGUGGCGAAGGCGGCCACCUGGGCCGAUAAACAUUCCUCUUUCUUUNUUAGCUAAGGGUUUACCUUUAGUUAGAGAGAAAGAGGUAACCUGACGCUGAGGCGCGAAGGCUGGGGGAGCGAACGGGAUUAGAUACCCCGGUAGUCCCAGCAGUAAACGAUGGCCACUAGGUGUGGGGGGUGUUGACCCCUCCUGUGCCGAAGCUAACGCAUUAAGUGGCCCGCCUGGGGAGUACGGUCGCAAGACUAAAGCUCAAAGGAAUUGACGGGGACCCGCACAAGCAGCGGAGCGUGUGGUUUAAUUCGAUGCGACGCGAAGAACCUUACCAGGGCUUGACAUCUAUUCGCAACUGUGUGAAAGCACAGCCUCCUUCGGGACGGAUAGACAGAUGUUGCAUGGCUGUCGUCAGCUCGUGUCGUGAGAUGUUGGGUUAAGUCCCGCAACGAGCGCAACCCCCGUCCCCCGUUAGAUAUCAGGGGAGACUGCCGGAGACAAACCGGAGGAAGGUGGGGAUGACGUCAAGUCAGCAUGACUCUUACGUCCUGGGCUACACACACGCUACAAUGGACCGUACAGCGAGAAGCCACCCCGCAAGGGGGAGCGGACCUCUGAAAGCGGUCCCCAGUUCAGAUUGCACUCUGCAACCCGAGUGCAUGAAGGUGGAGUUGCUAGUAACCGCGUGUCAGCAUAGCGCGGUGAAUAUGUUCCCNGGGU
rnacentral:rRNA from 1 species